GUGAGAUGAUGAACGUGUUUAUCCAUUCUCUGAGUGCUUGUUAGGGUCCUCCUUUCUCUGUGGUGCUCAUGCCUGUUUUAGCCACACUUGCCACCUCAGUGUUCUACUGGGGCAGCUUGUGGUGGAGAAAGGGGCAGGACUGGAGGGCCCUGCGAUAACAAAGACGAGUUGACACACCUGAUCAC
ensembl:snoRNA small nucleolar RNA, C/D box 17